ACGCUCGACACCUACUGGAGGCAGCAGUGGGGGAUAUUGCACAAUGGAGGAAACUCUGAUGCAGCGACGCCGCGUGAGGGAAGAAGGUUUUCGGAUUGUAAACCUCUGUCUUCGGUGACGAAAUGACGGUAGCCGAGGAGGAAGCCACGGCUAACUACGUGCCAGCAGCCACGGUAAUCUGAGCGGGCUGGCAAGGC
rnacentral:rRNA from 1 species